rnacentral:tRNA from 1 species
GGGCACGUCGUCUAGCGGCCAAGACAGCAGUCUCCAAAACUGCCUACCGAGGGUUCGAGUCCCUCCGUGCUCGCCA